UACGUAGGCAGCAAGCGUUGUUCGGAGUUACUGGGCGUAAAGGGUGCGUAGGCGGCUUUUUAAGUUUGGUGUGAAAUCUCCCGGCUCAACUGGGAGGUUGCGCCGAAUACUGAGAGGCUAGAGUGUGGGAGAGGAAAGUGGAAUUCCUGGUGUAGCGGUGAAAUGCGUAGAUAUCAGGAGGAACACCGGUGGUGUAAACGGCUUUCUGGACCAUAACUGACGCUGAUGCACGAAAGCGUGGGUAGCAAACAGG
rnacentral:rRNA from 1 species